rnacentral:rRNA from 1 species
GACGAACGCUGGCGGCGUGCCUAAUACAUGCAAGUUGAGCGAUGAAGAUUGGUGCUUGCACCAAUUUGAAGAGCAGCGAACGGGUGAGUAACGCGUGGGGAAUCUGCCUUUGAGCGGGGGACAACAUUUGGAAACGAAUGCUAAUACCGCAUAACAACUUUAAACAUAAGUUUUAAGUUUGAAAGUUGCAAUUGCAUCACUCAAAGAUGAUCCCGCGUUGUAUUAGCUAGUUGGUGAGGUAAAGGCUCACCAAGGCGAUGAUACAUAGCCGACCUGAGAGGGUGAUCGGCCACAUUGGGACUGAGACACGGCCCAAACUCCUACGGGAGGCAGCAGUAGGGAAUCUUCGGCAAUGGACGAAAGUCUGACCGAGCAACGCCGCGUGAGUGAAGAAGGUUUUCGGAUCGUAAAACUCUGUUGGUAGAGAAGAACGUUGGUGAGAGUGGAAAGCUCAUCAAGUGACGGUAACUACCCAGAAAGGGACGGCUAACUACGU